rnacentral:tRNA from 5 species
GCGCAGGUGGCGGAACUGGCAUACGCGCACGCUUGAGGGGCGUGUUCCUUCACCGGAUUGGGGGUUCAAAUCCCCCCCUGCGCA